AGAGAGAGAGAUGGGGUUUUGGGUGUAUUAGAAGAAGAAGAAGAAGUAUUUAGUUGAGAAUAAAAUAGGAGUUAGUAAGUAACUGGUGGUGAUGGAAGGUGGUGGUGGUGCUUUUGGUGGAGGUAUAUACUAAUAGGAUUUGGCUCACCCAAAAUUAAUUUAUUAUUAGAAACUAACAAAAUUAACUUUCCUUAAAAAAAAACUAUUUUUUUUUUUAAGGAAAAUUAACUUAUUAUUAUUUAUUAGUAUUUUUUUACUUGUAAUAAUUUUUUUUUUUACGAAUACUAAUAAUUUUAUGUUAUCCGUAUAUUAUCUAACAAUAAAAUAGUAGUAAAAAACCAAUAAUGAUUGUAUGAAAAAAUUUAGUUGCAGUUGGAAAACAUACCUUAUGUGCCCCACAAAUUCCUGACGAAGAUUAAUCAUUGUUAACGGUGGUAAAAACUUCGUAGUAAGAUCAUGGUAACAAAAAAAAUUAAUUGUAAAAAAGAUUAAAAAGUAAAUAAAAUUAUGUUACAGUGUAAAUGUUUUUUGGUUGAUAGUUGUCACGACCUUGUUGAAGAGGUUGAAGUUGAAACUCCACAUUUUUUACAUCUCCAAGUUGAAAAUGUGCGAGUUAAAUCAUUAGACAACUUAAUAAAAAAU
rnacentral:lncRNA from 1 species